CGGCGCCUUAUUCGCCCCUCUCCGCCAACUCCGCCGCCACCCCUUACACCCUUGCAACCUCCCCGCCGUAAUUCCGGGCCGUAACGCGGAGAAACUGUUGAAAUCAUUUGUCAAAACGAGCGCUAACGUGACUCGGCAGUUUCUUUCUCGGGGCGCGCACCCCGCCGAGCAAACACUUUAUAUGUAUCAGAAAACGUUAUUAACUGUACCGAAAUAUUUUGACAUUUACAAUAUUAUUAUUAUUAUUAUUACUGUUGCUGUUGUGUCUCGCGCGCAUAACGCAAUAACAACGCGAUAAUAUAUUUCGGGUAUUUUUUUAUGUUUUUUUUUUUUUUUUUU